rnacentral:lncRNA from 1 species
CCAUUGGUUCAUUGGGGUCUAUAAGGGUUAUAUGGGGUCUAUUGGGGUCAUAUGGGUUCCAUUGGGGCCCAUUGUGGGUCUAUUGGGGUCUAUUGGGUUUCCAUUGGGGUCUAUAGGGUCCAUUGGGUUCCAUUGGGGUCUAUUGGGUUCCAUUGUGUUCAUUUGGGGUCUAUUGGGGUCCAUUGGGUUCCAUUGGGUUCCAUUGGUGUCUAUUGGGGUCCAUUGGGUUCUAUUGGGGUCCCAUAGGGUUCUACUUGGGGCCCAUAGGAUGCUAGUUGGGUUCAUUGGGUUCCAUUGGGGUCCAUUGGUUCCAAUUGGGUUCAUUUGGGUUUUUGGGUUCCUUGGGGUCUAUAUGGGGCUCAUGGGAUUCCAUUGGGGUCUAUUGGGCCAUUGGGGUCAUAGGGUUCUAUUGGGCCCAUAGGGUUUAUUGGGGUCCAUAGGUUCUAAUGGGGCCAAUAGGGUUCUAUUGGGUCCAUAAGGUUCUAAUGGGCCCAUAGGGUUUAUUAUUGGGGUCCAUAGGGUUCUAUUGGGGCCUAU